rnacentral:rRNA from 1 species
UACGGAGGGUGCGAGCGUUUGUCCGGAAUCACUGGGCGUAAAGGGCGCGUAGGCGGCGCGGAUAGUCGGCGGUGAAAGCCCGGAGCUCAACUCCGGGUCGGCCGUCGAUACUUCCGGGCUUGAGCACUGUAGAGGCAGAUGGAAUUCCGGGUGUAGCGGUGGAAUGCGUAGAGAUCCGGAAGAACACCGGUGGCGAAGGCGGUCUGCUGGGCAGUUGCUGA